GACAGAGGCCCCAAGCGUUAGGCGGAAUCACUGGGCUUAAAGCGUGUGUAGGCGGAUCGUUAAGUACCUUGUGAAAUCCCACGGCUCAACCGUGGAACGGCUGGGUAUACUGGCGGUCUUGGGCCAUUCAGGGGCGACUGGAACAAGCGGUGGAGCGGUGAAAUGCGUAGAUAUCGCUUGGAACGCCGAAGGUGAAAACAGGUCGCUGGGGAUGUGCCGACGCUGAGACACGAAAGCCAGGGGAGCAAACGGG
rnacentral:rRNA from 1 species